rnacentral:piRNA from 1 species
UAAUUGCAAAGCAGAGUUGGGAGCAACAGA